UACGUAGGUGGCAAGCGUUGUCCGGAUUUACUGGGCGUAAAGAGCGCGCAGGCGGUCAGAUAAGUCGAAUGUGAAAGCCCCCCGGCUCAACUGGGGAGGGUCAUUCGAUACUGUUCGACUCGAAGGCAGGAGAGGGAAGUGGAAUUCCCGGUGUAGUGGUGAAAUGCGUAGAUAUCGGGAGGAACACCAGUGGCGAAGGCGACUUCCUGGCCUGUUCUUGACGCUGAGGCGCGAAAAGCUAGGGGAGCAAACGGGG
rnacentral:rRNA from 1 species